UAGGGAAUCUUCGGCAAUGGGGGGAACCCUGACCGAGCAACGCCGCGUGAGUGAAGAAGGUUUUCGGAUCGUAAAGCUCUGUUGUUAAGGAAGAACGAGUGUGAGAAUGGAAAGUUCAUACUGUGACGGUACUUAACCAGAAAGGGACGGCUAACUACGUGCCAGCGGCCGCGGUAAUACGUAGGUCCCGAGCGUUGUCCGGAUUUAUUGGGCGUAAAGCGAGCGCAGGCGGUUAGAAAAGUCUGAAGUGAAAGGCAGUGGCUCAACCAUUGUAGGCUUUGGAAACUGUUUAACUUGAGUGCAGAAGGGGAGAGUGGAAUUCCAUGUGUAGCGGUGAAAUGCGUAGAUAUAUGGAGGAACACCGGUGGCGAAAGCGGCUCUCUGGUCUGUAACUGACGCUGAGGCUCGAAAGCGUGGGGAGCGAACAGG
rnacentral:rRNA from 1 species